GGUUAAGUUAUUAAGGGCGCAUGGUGGAUGCCUUGGCACUAGGAGCCGAUGAAGGACGUGACUAACUGCGAUAAGCUUCGGGGAGUUGUAAG
rnacentral:rRNA from 1 species